UGAGCAAUCUGCCCUUCUCAUCGGAAUAAGCGUUGGAAACGACGUCUAAUGCCGAAUACGACCUCCUUUCGCAUGAUCGGAGGUGGAAAGCUCCGGCGGAGAAGGAUGAGCUCGCGGCCUAUCAGCUAGUUGGUGUGGGUAAUGGCCCACCAAGGCGACGACGGGUAGCCGGCCUGAGAGGGUGACCGGCCACACUGGGACUGAGACACGGCCCAGACUCCUACGGGAGCAAACG
rnacentral:rRNA from 1 species